rnacentral:rRNA from 1 species
AGUUUUGGUUUUUCCCAGAGGGGGGUAUGCGGAGGGAUCAUUACUGAGUUUACGCUCUAUAACCCUUUGUGAACAUACCUAUAACUGUUGCUUCGGCGGGUAGGGUCUCCGUGACCCUCCCGGCCUCCCGCCCCCGGGCGGGUCGGCGCCCGCCGGAGGAUAACCAAACUCUGAUUUAACGACGUUUCUUCUGAGUGGUACAAGCAAAUAAUCAAAACUUUUAACAACGGAUCUCUUGGUUCUGGCAUCGAUGAAGAACGCAGCGAAAUGCGAUAAGUAAUGUGAAUUGCAGAAUUCAGUGAAUCAUCGAAUCUUUGAACGCACAUUGCGCCCGCCAGCAUUCUGGCGGGCAUGCCUGUUCGAGCGUCAUUUCAACCCUCAAGCUCUGCUUGGUGUUGGGGCCCUACAGCUGAUGUAGGCCCUCAAAGGUAGUGGCGGACCCUCCCGGAGCCUCCUUUGCGUAGUAACUUUACGUCUCGCACUGGGAUCCGGAGGGACUCUUGCCGUAAAACCCCCCAAUUUUCCAAAGGUUGACCUCGGAUCAGGUAGGAAUACCCGCUGAACUUAAGCAUAUCAAAAGCCGGGAGGAAAAGAUUUACUGAGUUUAC